AGGAGGUGGGCUUCCUCACGUGGCUCGCCUGUGAAGACAGUGACACCCGCCCGUUCCUCCCUCCUCUGGUACCACAGUGUCUCUUCUGGGGACGUUCUGACUCUGCUCCAGCGUGCUGGUGUGCCCCUGCCAGUGGCCCAGCCCCAGGUUUCUGCCCCGUGAGUGGUCGGCGUGGCAGUGAGAACAGAGGGAAGAAGGCCCAACCUGGCUGCUCUGCUCCUGCCACUUGGCGACUCCUGGCCUUGCCUGUCUGGGAACCUGGCAUGACCUGGUCCCUGGCACCUCGCAUGGACCUGCACUGUGGCCCUGCUGUGCACCAGGCUUCCUUCUGCUGAGGGCUGCUCCUG